rnacentral:tRNA from 1 species
GCCCCGGUAGCUCAUCCGGUACAGUGCAUGCCAUGUACGCAGCGGCCCAGGUUCGAAUUCGGGCUGGGCCC